GGUUCGUUCGGGGGCGGAGGCCGCGGGCCGCCGGCCGCCCUCGUUUGUCCGCGGGCCGUUCUUGUGCCCCGACGUGCCUCUGCGCGCCGCUCUCUGCCGAGGCUGCGGUACACAGAUGCAUAUGCUGCCUGUAAGAGAUUAUGAAGAUACGAGUUCAUACCUUGCUCCUUGCUUCUCAGAUAUGGACGGGUGACAAUCUACAAGCCACAUGAGUGAUCCUCAGCUGCCUUGCCACUCUCUACCAGUAAUCAAAGUGUGGGGGACACAGAAGUGUCUUGGUGAUGGAAUGACAAACCUGCUGUAUGUCAGGCUCCUGAAGCCAGUGAGGGAGAAACAGCUGUCUGAGAUGAAACAACAUUCAACAAAACCUCAUCAAAUGCUUUCAGAGACACGGAUGCCACCUUGGGAUUGAAGUCGUACUGUGUGAAUCUGUUUUGCAGUGGCAACAUGCUGAUGGUGUGAAUUAGUCAUUAGUUUAUGACUCCGAGGAAAAGGACUGGUGAAAAUUGUAAGUUAGAACGUAAGUAAGUGGACACUCACCAUUCAGAAUGAAAUACUGCAUAACCUGUGAGUGUGUUACUAUAAUUUCUGGUCUAUUUCCAAACAAAUGAUGUUAAAACAGGAGUCGGAAAUAUCUGGUAGGGAUUUGAAGUUCAAUGUGGCAGUAACCCCAAAGCCUAUUACUUUACAUUCAAGGUUUCUCCGUUAGACCUCUUUAAUUCAUCCCUGAUUAUAAAUUGCUGUCUGUAAGUUUCCAAAAAAUUGUUUAAUACUCCCAGGCCUAAUGCUCUAAUUUGGGGCAGAAUACAAUACCAUAAUGCCAUAUUUUCAGUGCAGAAUUACACCUUAUCUCCAAUAAACCACCAAUGUCUUCCAGUAUUUUUUAGAUUUAAUGUAUUUCAGCACGCAGAAUCUUUAGCUUGUGUGGUUAAUCUUUUUUCUUAGUCUUUAAGCAGAACUGAGUCUCUUCAUUCUCAGUGCAGAAGUGCAGUACAACAGAAGAACAAAUCCAUUCUGCAGGUGGAAAGAGAAGCUGUGGGUUCAUGGUGAGGACAGCACCCAUCUGCCCCAGAUAAAUGUAAGUCCAUCUUCCCAGCUUGUAGGUGCCUUUGUUUACCUUUUGCUCCAUAACAAAACCAGAAGCUGCUUGAUAAAAUUCCCUUUGGAUUACAACCAUAAAUAAACCCAUUCUGCAUUCUUAAAUACAGAAUGCAGUUUUUGUGGCAGAUAGCUUGUAAGCUGUAAACAUAAAAAUCACAUACGAAUAAAUAAGCGUUGAGAAAGCAGUUAUGUGACAUAAAGUGUGUAUGAAGAAAAUGCUCUGAAUAUGGGAAAAAAUGAAAGGAUAGCUCCACAGCAGUAGUAGCUGUACCUGCUCAAUACACUGAGUUAAGGGAGACUUCUACCUUGCUGUUGUUGUCUCUGUAACUAAUUACAUCUUAAAAUCUUAAAACCACUGACAGUUAAGGGAAAACAAACUUGUGCAUUUGGGCAUGGCAGGUCUUUUCUGCUGCAAGCUUCACAGGAGCUUCUGCCUCCACACUGAUCUUUUCUUACACUGCUCUUAGGUAAUGUGUCUUCUCUCUUGUUUGUAAUUAUUUCUCCCUUUUAUUUGUAAUACACAAAAUAUUUAAGAAGCUCAUGAUUUAAGAGUAAUUAAGAUAGUGCUACCUCAAGAACAUCAAAUGUUACUCUUAUGUACGCUCAUAUUUGUUCUGCUGAGCAGGCCCAUCUCAGUGACAGAGGGAACUGCAAAUAAUACAGGCUGACAUCAAACUAGCUAUUGCUGUAAGCAGGCAGAACAAAAGUUAUUUCUGCAUUUCUUGACACAGAAACACAUGGAUGGCUAUAUAUUGUGUGAAAAAAAACCACUACAUUGUUGUGUGCUUAUGACAAAAAAACAGGAAUCCUUUGCCAAUAAAAUACUGUUAUUUUUGGAUAAACAAAACCAAAAUCAAAGAAGAGCAAACAAGUCUAUAUAUGCCGUGCAUAACACACAGUCCCAUUUCAUCAACAUUAGUGAUUUUAGCAGUGUACUUCCUGAAAUGGGAGUUUUCACUAGAAUGAAAAUUGCUUCCACAUCACUUGGAAGUAAAGCUCACUGCUGUCAGGUUGCCAGAACCCCUAAAUGAGUGCUCAAGCAUCAUUACCUCUUUCAGUGAUUUCAUAUAUUUAUACUUACUGUCACAAGUAGGAGAGGAUCAGCAAGGAUUUGUUCCUUGUUCAGAAGAUCAUGGAGUCUGCUACCUGCCAGCAGGCCCUGCUUCCAGCAGCUGAAGCUCUUACUCAUCACAAAUCUUGUUCCUGACAUACUUCAGCAUCCAGUACUUCUUUUACACCUUCCGAGGUCCUUUAUUUAGGUAUUUCUUCUUCUCCCCAGUUGCUCCAAGCCAGAAACAUAUCCCUUUACAUAGAAGAUUCUUGAAUUUGUUCACACUGCUUUUUUGGCAUUUGUUUCCUUGGUAAGUUCCACUUCUGUAGACUGUUCAGUACUAAGUGUAUUGUGAAAGUCUAGGUGGUAUUCUACAUUAUAAAUCACAGAUACACACAAGAUUGGCAGGAUUCUUGAAUACUGGCCUGCAGCAUCCCAGAUCCAUAGUGCCAGAGAGAGAUGCGGACAGAUCUUUGGUCUUGAAGGCCAGAAUUUGGUCAUAUUCACAGACACGUUUGGAAGCUUGCAAAAGGUGGCCAAGAGAAGGAACAGGGGAUGUCACUGAUGAGCUGUGCAGAAAUGUCACCUCCUGGAGAACCAUCUAGUAGAUGGACUACAUCUGAGUUCUGCUAAUGCUCUUCAUUAAGCAAACACGUUCAGCACUGCUGCAGUCACGACUGGAAUACACAGCACACCAGCAUAUGUUGAAAUCCAGGACGCCCAGUUCAACAGAAAGAGUGAGUAAUAUAAAUGGCAUUAACUGAAAUAAAUUUCAGGAUGUUUUUUGAUGGAAAGCAUGCUCAUAUCUCAAAAUCAAACCUUUCAGUAGACAAAUAAAUGGCUUCAACAUUUUUCAGGGAAAUCUCAGUAGCAUUCCUUGGGCUCGUAGGUCAAGCUUACUACAGUCGAGCAGGCUUAAAUGCAAUAUUACAAUGUUUUUUGCUUCUUACAUAUUUUGAAUGGAACAUAACAAUGAACACACAUUCUUGUGUUUCUGAUGCAUUCUUUUCCUGCAGAAGCCCCAGCUGGUAGUAAAGCAGGUCACAGCACAGACAUUUCUGUAGAGGAGAAGCUCCUGCAGCAGGUGAGCCCUGUACUGACAGCAAGCAGUUCUCACACUGCAACAUUGUGAUUAGCUGUGUUAAGCAACAUAUAAAUCAUGAAGACAAAGUGCUGCUGAGCAGUGAGGCAGCUUUCCCUGUCCAGGUUGUAAGAAGCAGCCACAAUUACCAAAUCAGUGCCUUGGCACUGAAAGUGCACAGCACAGUGGAGCAGGUUAGUGGGCUUGGGUCCCUUCCUCUAGAGGAAAGUUUGUGCUGCAGUUUGGCCUCACCCACCUUCGGGCAGCUGAGUUUCUGUUGACUCGAAAGGAAAGCAAAAAGUUUGAGAAAUGCUGCUAAAAGGCCUCACAUUGUCUGACAUCCUGAGACAAGAAAAAAUGGACGUUGACUGCAAGCCGUAAAGACUCUGACCUGUGUGUAACCUUUCAGUACUGCUGCGUCCUGCUUUUGGUUUUGCCCUGCUCACUUGGGUUAUUCCGUGCAUUGCACAAAGAGUUUCAAAGACAGCUCCUGUAAGCCAGUUACCUGUAACCGAUCCUGGGAGCAGUUACACUGCCAGCACGGAAAUAAAAAUACUGGGCCCAAAAGUCAGCCUUGUCUUGUCUGUCAAUGCAGUUUCCAUGUGCAGGAACAGCUACAGGGGAGCUGCUGCCACCAACCAGGAGUAGCUCUCAGAAGAAGCAUGUAUCCAUGUGGCUCCGUAACAGUGUUGCAAAAAUACCACAUUUGAUCUCUGGGUAAAGUGGAAAAAGCAGAAGGGUGGUUUUUUUACACCACAAAUAGAGACAAGUGCAGGCAGUGCGAUGUACGAACACUUAGAUUUUAAGCCAGCACUUCUGGGCACGCUGUUCAGAAGUGCAAAUGCUUUCAAAAAGUGCCUUUCAGCUCAGCCUGGUAGAGCAGAGGACCCUAAGCAACUGCCAGUGGGCUCACAUCUCACCUCUUGGCUUCACACAUACCCAAGUCCACCUUCAUUCCAGGUGUGUGGAAAUGCCUGCACCUCUCCUUAGUGACAGAGUAAAGCAAAACUGUAUCUGAAGGAUAUUGCACUGAUUUCAGAGAAAAAAAAAUGCAUUUGAUUGUGGGGUAGCACAUACAGUGAGAUUGCUAUCUACCAAAAUCAGAUUAUUUCUGUGCUGACCUUCUGGAGCAAACUUUUCUGACUGAAGUUAUUGUGAGGAGAACGUGGUAGCAAAAUGGGCAAACCAUUAAUUAUCCUACUAUUUUCCACCUAUGCUUUUGAGUCCUCUGCAUCAGGUGGAAAUGAUGUCUUCUUGUCCCCCAGGUACAGAGGAUAAAAGUGUCAGUGACGCAUUUUCACUUCUGGCUCAAUGCAUCGGGACAUUUCCCCACCUUCUAACAGCUAAAUGUUAUCAGGUCUCCUCUCACCUUUUCAACAGAAUGCUUCAACACUACUCACCAGUUUUUGUUCAAGACAGCAGGGAAUGAAGCUCAUCAAACACAUUGCCUACAGCAUGCAGUCUGACACACUGGACUAAUAAUAGCUUUCCUGUCAUCACAAAAUAUCACAUUUAUGUGUGGCAUCCAGAAUGGAGCCAACCAAACUGAGCUGCAUGGCCACACGUCUGUCUACACACACUUAUUCACAUUGGUGGGCACCAGGAAAGGACAGGCAGCAGAGCAGCCAUCCACAUACUGUAGACACGAUGUGUUUUUCAGACAAGUUUCCUUCUCUUAAGCUCUGUAAUUGCUGUCAUUAACACUGAGCAGUAUGACAGCAAAAGAAGAAUCCCACAAAUGUAAUGGAUCAACUUAUGAAAAGUUAAAAUUUGUCAAUUUUAAGUAGCUAACCAUCAUUUCCCUUUUGUCAUAUAUUAGGAGGGCCACCAAGAUGAUCAGAGGGAUAGGGAUGGAGCUCCUCUCCUGUGAAGAGUGCUUAAGGGAACAGGCCUUUAUUUAGCUUGGAUAAGAGAAGGCUCUGGGGAGACCUCACUGUAAUCCUCCAAUAUUUGAAGGGAGCUUAUAAACAAGAGAGGGAAUGACUUUUUACAAUGAUAGAUAAUGAUAGGACAAGGGGGAAUGGUUUUAAUUGGUUUUUUUUUUUUUGGUCUA